GGCUUCUUCCUUCUCUGCACAAACUCCGAGUGUCUCAGGGUGCUGGGAGCCGUGCGGCGGAAGCAGCUAUUCCUUCCCCACGGCUCUGAACCAGAUCGUUGGGAUUAUAAAUCGGAUCCUUACACUCUACACAGCCAUUCACCGUCCCACAUCCUCCAGCCUCCAGGAUCCCAGCCGGGCUUCCCGCAAGUGAACGCCUCUCUGUCCCAGGCCCGAGAUUCACACACUCUAUGUCUUCUCCAUUCCUGGAAGCAGCAGAGCCUGCUGGGAAGAGACCCUCCUUUCCACUCCGAUUUGUUUCUCCCGAGUCCAUAUAAUCUGGUUCACUCUGCUCAAAAUCCCAGUACCCACAAUCCCUUUUUCUGUAGGGCCGAUUCCGCCUUUUGGCCCGGCACGUAGCGUCCAGGCCAUUUUCUGGGUGGAGCCCACCUGGGUCCGUAAGGCUUCUUUUCCGGAGGCUCCUGCAGUCUUCAUACUCCCAACUGGAGCCCCGAGGCCCCGCAGAAAGCUCAGCGACCCUUUCCCUCCCAAUCUCGCGUGUCUCACUCAUGUUCAGUAGGAACUCGGACUUUGCUUCUCUGUUCCAUGAGCUCGGGGUUGGGGUGAAACUCGAACAGGUGCAGUCUAGCCUAAGGCUGGCUCUGUCCUUAAAAUGUCUCCCACAGCACUGGAGUCUUCCU
rnacentral:lncRNA from 1 species